rnacentral:rRNA from 1 species
CCUACGGGAGGCAGCAGUGGGGAAUAUUGGACAAUGGGGGGAACCCUGAUCCAGCCAUGCCGCGUGUGUGAAGAAGGCCCUCGGGUUGUAAAGCACUUUCAGUGAGGAAGAACGCCUGGUGGUUAAUACCCAUCAGGAAAGACAUCACUCACAGAAGAAGCACCGGCUAACUCCGUGCCAGCAGCCGCGGGAAUACGGAGGGUGCGAGCGUUAAUCGGAAUUACUGGGCGUAAAGCGCGCGUAGGUGGCUUGAUAAGCCGGUUGUGAAAGCCCCGGGCUCAACCUGGGAACGGCAUCCGGAACUGUCAAGCUAGAGUGCAGGAGAGGAAGGUAGAAUUCCCGGUGUAGCGGUGAAAUGCGUAGAGAUCGGGAGGAAUACCAGUGGCGAAGGCGGCCUUCUGGACUGACACUGACACUGAGGUGCGAAAGCGUGGGUAGCAAACAGGAUUAGAUACCCCGGUAGUC